rnacentral:rRNA from 1 species
UCCAGACUCCUACGGGAGGCAGCAGUGAGGAAUAUUGGUCAAUGGGCGGGAGCCUGAACCAGCCAAGUCGCGUGAGGGAAGACGGUCCUAUGGAUUGUAAACCUCUUUAGGCGGGGAGCAAUGCCGGGCACGCGUGCCCGGAGGGAGAGUACCCGCAGAAUAAGCAUCGGCUAACUCCGUGCCAGCAGCCGCGGUAAUACGGAGGAUGCGAGCGUUAUCCGGAUUUAUUGGGUGCAAAGGGUGCGUAGACGGGAAAUUAAGUUAGUUGUGAAAUCCCUCGGCUUAACUGAGGAACUGCAACUAAAACUGAUUUUCUUGAGUACUGGAGAGGAAAGUGGAAUUCCUAGUGUAGCGGUGAAAUGCGUAGAUAUUAGGAGGAACACCAGUGGCGAAGGCGACUUUCUGGACAGUAACUGACGUUGAGGCACGAAAGUGUGGGGAGCAAACAGGAUUAGAUACCCUAGUA